UGGGGAAUAUUGCACAAUGGGGGAAACCCUGAUGCAGCCAUGCCGCGUGUGUAAAGAAGGCCUUCGGGUUGUAAAGCACUUUCAGUCAGGAGGAAAGGUGGCUAGCUAAUAUCUAGUUGCUGUGACGUUACUGACAGAAGAAGCACCGGCUAACUCCGUGCCAGCAGCCGCGGUAAUACGGAGGGUGCAAGCGUUAAUCGGAAUUACUGGGCGUAAAGCGCACGCAGGCGGCUUGUUAAGUCAGAUGUGAAAGCCCCGGGCUCAACCUGGGAACUGCAUUUGAAACUGACAAGCUAGAGUCUUGUAGAGGGGGGUAGAAUUCCAGGUGUAGCGGUGAAAUGCGUAGAGAUCUGGAGGAAUACCGGUGGCGAAGGCGGCCCCCUGGACAGAGACUGACGCUCAGGUGCGAAAGCGUGGGGAGCAAACA
rnacentral:rRNA from 1 species